UGGGUGAUGCUGAUGGAGGCAGAUCUCCAAG
rnacentral:piRNA from 1 species